UACGAAGGGGGCUAGCGUUGUUCGGAUUUACUGGGCGUAAAGCGCACGUAGGCGGAUCGUUAAGUCGGGGGGUGAAAUCCUGGAGCUCAACUCCAGAACUGCCUUCGAUACUGGCGAUCUCGAGUCCGGAAGAGGUGAGUGGAACUCCUAGUGUAGAGGUGGAAUUCGUAGAUAUUAGGAAGAACACCAGUGGCGAAGGCGGCUCACUGGUCCGGGUACUGACGCUGAGGUGCGAAAGCGUGGGGAGCAAACAGG
rnacentral:rRNA from 1 species